rnacentral:rRNA from 1 species
UACGAAGGGGGCUAGCGUUGCUCGGAAUUACUGGGCGUAAAGGGCGCGUAGGCGGCACUGUUAGUCAGGCGUGAAAGUCCUGGGCUCAACCUGGGAACUGCGCUUGAUACGGCAGAGCUAGAGGAUGGAAGAGGUCGCGGAAUUCCCAGUGUAGAGGUGAAAUUCGUAGAUAUUGGGAAGAACACCGGUGGCGAAGGCGGCGACCUGGUCCAU